GAUUUCCCUAGURACGGCGAGCGAACCGGAAAGAGCCCAGCUUGAAAAUCGUGGUGCCUCGUACCUCGAGUUGUAGUCUGGAGAAGGUCCCUCUGUGCCGCGCCGGACCCAAGUUCCCUGGAAAGGGACGUCAUCGAGGGUGACAACCCCGUCCGCGUCCGGAACGCGUCGCUCCACGAGGACCUGUCUGCGAGUCGGGCUGUUUGGGAAUGCAGCCCUAAGCGGGAGGUAAAUUCCUUCCAAGGCUAAAUAUGGGCAAGAGACCGAUAGCGAACAAGUACCGCGAGGGAAAGAUGAAAAGGACUUUGAAAAGAGAGUUAAAAAGUGCUUGAAAUUGCUGGGAGGGAAGCGAAUGGAAGCUGCGGGUGCGCCCCGGUUGGAUGUGGAACGGCUUCGGCUGGUCCGCCGCUCAACGCGGGGCGCUGGUCAGCGUGGGCCGUCGCGCCGGGACAAGAGCGGGGAUUCGCUUCCCGCCUAUGCCGGUGCGGCGGCCGAGGAACGAAGCGCGCGCCCUUCGGCGUGGGUUCGCCCCAACUGCGCGCUCGGGACGCUGGCGUAUUGAGCUCUUCAUCCGACCCGUCUUGAAACACGGACCAAGGAGUCUAACAUGUAUGCGAGCCGGUGGGCGGCAAACCCAUUGAGGCGCAAGUAAACUGACAGGUGGGACCCCGACCGCCAGGGAGGGAGCACCAUCGACCGACCGUGAUCUUCUGUGAAAGGUUUGAGUGUGAGCAUACCUGUUGGGACCCGAAAGAUGGUGAACUAUGCCUGAGCAGGGCGAAGCCAGAGGAAACUCUGGUGGAGGCUCGUAGCGAUACUGACGUGCAAAUCGUUCGUCAGACUUGGGUAUAGGGGCGAAAGACUAAUCGAACCAUCUAGUAGCUGGUUCCCUCCGAAGUUUCCCUCAGGAUAGCUGGAGCUCGUGCACGAGUUUUAUCAGGUAAAGCGAAUGAUUAGAGGCAUCGGGGGUGUAACACCCUCGACCUAUUCUCAAACUUUAAAUAGGUAAGCCGCCGGGGUUGCUUGGUUGAACCCCGGCACA
rnacentral:rRNA from 1 species